UCCGAGUUGUCCCCGGCAGUCCCUCUAGAGUCCCCGACAUUACUCGCUGGCAACAUGCGACGGGGGUUGCGCUCGUUGCGGGACUUAACCCAACAUCUCACGACACGAGCUGACGACAGCCAUGCACCACCUGUGAUCCUGCCCCGAAGGGAAACCCUGUUUCCAGGGUGGUCAGGAACAUGUCAAGCCCAGGUAAGGUUCUUCGCGUUGCGUCGAAUUAAACCACAUGCUCCGCUGCUUGUGCGGGUCCCCGUCAAUUCCUUUGAGUUUUAGCCUUGCGGCCGUACUCCCCAGGCGGGACACUUAAUGCGUUAGCUGCGGCACGGGAGGAGUCAACACCUCCCACACCUAGUGUCCAUCGUUUACGGCGUGGACUAC
rnacentral:misc_RNA from 1 species